rnacentral:tRNA from 1 species
GCCCUCGUAGCUCAGUAGGAUAGAGCGCCGGAUUCCUAAUCCGGGUGCCAGAGGUUCGAAUCCUCUCGAGGGCACCA